GAUGAACGCUGGCGGCGUGCCUAAUACAUGCAAGUCGAGCGAACAGACGAGGAGCUUGCUCCUCUGACGUUAGCGGCGGACGGGUGAGUAACACGUGGAUAACCUACCUAUAAGACUGGGAUAACUUCGGGAAACCGGAGCUAAUACCGGAUAAUAUAUUGAACCGCAUGGUUCAAUAGUGAAAGAUGGUUUUGCUGUCACUUAUAGAUGGAUCCGCGCCGCAUUAGCUAGUUGGUAAGGUAACGGCUUACCAAGGCAACGAUGCGUAGCCGACCUGAAAGGGUGAUCGGCCACACUGGAACUGAGACACGGUCCAGACUCCUACGGGAGGCAGCAGUAGGGAAUCUUCCGCAAUGGGCGAAAGCCUGACGGAGCAACGCCGCGUGAGUGAUGAAGGUCUUCGGAUCGUAAAACUCUGUUAUUAGGGAAGAACAAAUGUGUAAGUAACUAUGCACGUCUUGACGGUACCUAAUCAGAAAGCCACGGCUAACUACGUG
rnacentral:rRNA from 1 species